UACGUAGGGUGCGAGCGUUAAUCGGAAUUACUGGGCGUAAAGCGUGCGCAGGCGGUUUUGUAAGCCCGAUGUGAAAGCCCCGGGCUUAACCUGGGAAUGGCAUUUGGGACUGCAAGGCUUGAGUGCGGCAGAGGAGACUGGAAUUCCCGGUGUAGCAGUGAAAUGCGUAGAUAUCGGGAGGAAUACCGAUGGCGAAGGCAGGUCUCUGGGCUGACACUGACGCUCAUGCACGAAAGCGUGGGGAGCAAACAGG
rnacentral:rRNA from 1 species